GACGAACGCUGGCGGCGUGCCUAAUACAUGCAAGUUGAGCGCUGAAGGUUGGUACUUGUACCAACUGGAUGAGCAGCGAACGGGUGAGUAACGCGUGGGGAAUCUGCCUUUGAGCGGGGGACAACAUUUGGAAACGAAUGCUAAUACCGCAUAAAAACUUUAAACACAAGUUUUAAGUUUGAAAGAUGCAAUUGCAUCACUCAAAGAUGAUCCCGCGUUGUAUUAGCUAGUUGGUGAGGUAAAGGCUCACCAAGGCGAUGAUACAUAGCCGACCUGAGAGGGUGAUCGGCCACAUUGGGACUGAGACACGGCCCAAACUCCUACGGGAGGCAGCAGUAGGGAAUCGUCGGCAAUGGACGAAAGUCUGACCGAGCAACGCCGCGUGAGUGAAGAAGGUUGUCGGAUCGUAAAAAUCGGUUGGUAGAGAAGAACGUUGGUGAGAGUGGAAAGCUCAUCAAGUGACGGUAACUACCCAGAAAGGGACGGCUAACUACGUG
rnacentral:rRNA from 1 species